AGAGUUUGAUCCUGGCUCAGGAUGAACGCCAGCUACAGGCUUAACACAUGCAAGUCGAGGGGAAACGAUAUUGGAAGCUUGCUUCCGAUAGGCGUCGACCGGCGCACGGGUGAGUAACGCGUAUCCAACCUGCCCAUCACUUGGGGAUAACCUUGCGAAAGUAAGACUAAUACCCAAUGACGUCUCUAGAAGACAUCUGAAGGAGAUUAAAGAUUUAUCGGUGAUGGAUGGGGAUGCGUCAGAUUAGCUAGUUGGUAAGGUAACGGCUUACCAAGGCGACGAUCAGUAGCCGGACUGAGAGGUUGAUCGGCCACAUUGGGACUGAGACACGGCCCAGACUCCUACGGGAGGCAGCAGUGGGGAAUAUUGCACAAUGGAGGAAACUCUGAUGCAGCGAUGCCGCGUGAGGGAAGAAGGUUUUAGGAUUGUAAACCUCUGUCUUCAGGGACGAAAAAAGACGGUACCUGAGGAGGAAGCUCCGGCUAACUACGUGCCAGCAGCCGCGGUAAUACGUAGGGAGCGAGCGUUGUCCGGAAUUACUGGGUGUAAAGGGAGCGUAGGCGGGAUCGCAAGUCAGAUGUGAAAACUAUGGGCUUAACCCAUAAACUGCAUUUGAAACUGUGGUUCUUGAUUGAAGUAGAGGUAAGCGGAAUUCCUAGCGUAGCGGUGAAAUGCGUAGAUAUUAGGAGGAACAUCAGUGGCGAAGGCGGCUUACUGGGCUUUAACUGACGCUGAGGCUCGAAAGCGUGGGGAGCAAACAGGAUUAGAUACCCUGGUAGUCCACGCCGUAAACGAUGAUUACUAGGUGUGGGGGGACUGACCCCUUCCGUGCCGCAGCAAACGCAAUAAGUAAUCCACCUGGGGAGUACGACCGCAAGGUUGAAACCCAAAGGAAUUGACGGGGGCCCGCACAAGCAGUGGAGUAUGUGGAUUAAUUCGAAGCAACGCGAAGAACCUUACCAGGUCUUGACAUCGUAUGCAUAGCUCAGAGAUGAGUGAAAUCUCUUCGGAGACAUAUAGACAGGUGGUGCAUGGUUGUCGUCAGCUCGUGUCGUGAGAUGUUGGGUUAAGUCCCGCAACGAGCGCAACCCUUACUGUUAGUUGCUACGCAAGAGCACUCUAGCAGGACUGCCGUUGACAAAACGGAGGAAGGUGGGGAUGACGUCAAAUCAUCAUGCCCCUUAUGACCUGGGCCUCACACGUACUACAAUGGCUGUCAACAGAGGGAAGCAAAGCCGCGAGGUGGAGCGAACCCCUAAAAGCAGUCUUAGUUCGGAUUGUAGGCUGCAACCCGCCUACAUGAAGUCGGAAUUGCUAGUAAUCGCAGAUCAGCAUGCUGCGGUGAAUACGUUCCCGGGCCUUGUACACACCGCCCGUCACGCCAUGGGAGUCGGUAACACCCGAAGCCUGUAGUCUAACCGCAAGGAGGACGCAGUCGAAGGUGGGAUUGAUGACUGGGGUGAAGUCGUAACAAGGUA
rnacentral:rRNA from 1 species